AGACACAAAAAGGUAGGCAAGGACCAGAUCCCACAGGGCCUCGGAGACUGCGUCAGUGCAUCUGGCUUUCAUUCCAAGAAGGCUUGGAAGGGUCCUAAGCAGGGAAAUGACACAAUCCAACGUUUAUCCUAAGAAGACCAUGAAAGAAAGCGGGGCAAGAACAAAUGUCAGGAGACCAGGACCUCACAGGCACCACGGCGCCCCCUGCCCUGCCCUGCCCUGAAGCAGUUCCAGGAACGUCAGAUGGUAAGAGAAGAAACGACUUACAAACGUCAAGUCCAUUUUACAGAUGGAAAAUCUGAAGCUCAGAUAGGAGAAAAGACUUGCCCAAGUGCCUGGUAUGAAGAGAAAGACUUUAUAAUGUCCCUUUCAGACAGAAGGAAGUAGAGUGGCCGGCCCUGAAGCCCAAGUUAACCUGCUUCCCCUGCGCUCUCUACUUCUAGAGCAAUGGUUUUAAACUUGGGGCGAUUUUGCCCCCCAGGGAACAUUCGACCAUGUCUGGAGACAUUUUUGGUUUUCCCAACGAGGAGGUUGCUACUGGCGUCUCAUGAGAAGAGACCAGGGAUGCUGCUACACGCCUUCAAUGCACAGGACAGCCCCUGCGCCAGAGAAUUGUCAGGCCCGAAAUGUCAGCAGGUUUCUGAGGUUGAGAAACUCUGUUCUAGGGCCUGGCAUCUGCCUAUAUAAACUUCCAAAUAGACUCCUGGAGUCCUGGGUUCUUCUGCAGCCCGGGAGGAUACUGUAUGAAGUCUUUCCUAGGGUCGUGCCUGCCCCAACUUGUAUAUUUAACCUUGCUUAGGACUGGUCAGUUCCACUCUUGGGCUCCAGUGUUUUGAAUUCCACCCACUGACAGAGAGGACAGAAUAAUUAAUAUUUGCUGGAGGCAUGUAAAACCAGUAGUCUCCCUGCUGAGGGCAUGAAUUAAAAUGUAAAUGGGAGCUGGGUGCGGUGGCUCAUGCCUGUACCAGUGUUUUGGGAGGCCAAGGUGGGUGGAUUGCUUGAGGCUGGGAGUUCGAGAUCAACCUGGCCAACAUGGUGAAACCCCAUCUCUACUAAAAAUACAAAAAUUAGCCAGGUGUGGUGGCACACAACUAUAGUCCCAGCUACUCGGGAGGCUGAGGUACGAGAAUCACUUGAACCCAGGAGGCGGAGGUUGCAGUGAGCCGAGGUCGCACCACUGCACUCCAGCCUGAGUGACAGGGGGAACUCUGUCUCAAAAAAAAGUAAAUGGGGAGUGGGAAGGUGGGGAGAAAAAGGAAAAUUAUUGGGAUUAAAGGAUCCUCCUGGGGAUUGCUAGGAGGCAUAGUCAUCCUACGCCUUCCCUUCUCACCUGGUCUGUGAGAAGCAUAAACUGAGGCCCUACAAUGUGAAAAGCCUCAAAGUGCGUUCCAUAGCUGGUCAGAGGUGGAGCUGGGGCUCCUGAUUAUAUUUACAUAUUAAUUAAAGCUUUGUUAUCAGCUAUUCUACCUCAGGCCUAGGCCUGGACUAGGGCCUGGGUGGUAGAAUGGGUUACUCUGGAGCAGCAAGGGGGACUAGAUUAGGGGAGGUGGGAUGGAGGCCAGGGCAGGACCUGGAACGAGGGUGGAGGUGAGGGGUGGGAGCACAGAGAGGAAUCAGGCUUCCUGUGUGCUCCUCCCUGGCCCCUUUCACAGAGACAGGUAAACCAGGGGUU
rnacentral:lncRNA from 1 species